UUACGGCCACAUCGCGUUGAAGCAUUGGUCCCCGUAUGAUCACUGAAGUUAAGCAACUUCGAGCGUGGUCAAUACCUAGAUGGUGAACGGUUGGGAAUACCAGGUACUGUAG